rnacentral:rRNA from 1 species
UACGGCAGCAGUAGGGAAUCUUCCGCAAUGGACGAAAGUCUGACGGAGCAACGCCGCGUGAACGAUGAAGGCUUUCGGGUCGUAAAGUUCUGUUGUUAGGGAAGAACAAGUACCAGAGUAACUGCUGGUACCUUGACGGUACCUAACCAGAAAGCCACGGCUAACUACGUGCCAGCAGCCGCGGUAAUACGUAGGUGGCAAGCGUUGUCCGGAAUUAUUGGGCGUAAAGCGCGCGCAGGUGGUUCCUUAAGUCUGAUGUGAAAGCCUACGGCUCAACCGUGGAGGGUCAUUGGAAACUGGGGACUUGAGUGCAGAAGAGGAAAGUGGAAUUCCACGGUGUAGCGGUGAAAUGCGUAGAGAUGUGGAGGAACACCAGUGGCGAAGGCGACUUUUCUGGGUCUGUAACUGACACUGAGGCGCGAAAGCGUGGGGAGCGGAACAGGGAUUAGAUACC